GUCCUCUAGUGCUAAAAGUUCUAAUUAUGGACUGUUUUGAACACGGAUCAUCCCCAUACUUCAUUCAAAUCCAACCAUCGCUUUUCCUUGAGUUUACAGCAGGGCCUCCUCUUCCUCUUUGGCCUCUUCCUUGGCCACCUCCCUCUCUUCCUUGGCCACCUCCCCCGCUUCCUUGGCCACCUCCCCCGCUUCCUUGGCCAGCUGCCCCUCUUUUUUGUCCAUCUCCUCCUUCUUGGCCACCUCCUCUUCCUGCUCCUCUCCCGCCACCUGGUCAAUGCUUCCAUUUACCCCUAUGAUGUCUCCUUUUCUUCUAACAACAAAAAGAGAUUAAGGUUUUAUUCCAAUUUGAAGGAAAUGCCUCCUCAAGUUCUUGUAAGUACAAUUUCUGAUACUGUAUACGAACAAGAAGAGCUUCUUACAUAUCUAUUUUUAAAAGAUAAGAAAUAACUUAUUGUUAUAGAUAUUUUUUGUUCAAUACUUUCUUUCCCCUGUAUUCAUACUCAGUCCUAUUCCUCUGAACUGUUUCACAAGA